AACGAACGCUGGCGGCGUGCCUAACACAUGCAAGUCGAACGAGACCUUCGGGUCUAGUGGCGCACGGGUGCGUAACGCGUGGGAAUCUGCCCUUGGGUUCGGAAUAACAGUUAGAAAUGACUGCUAAUACCGGAUAAUGUCUUCGGACCAAAGAUUUAUCGCCCAGGGAUGAGCCCGCGUAGGAUUAGCUAGUUGGUGAGGUAAAGGCUCACCAAGGCGACGAUCCUUAGCUGGUCUGAGAGGAUGAUCAACCACACUGGGACUGAGACACGGCCCAGACUCCUACGGGAGGCAGCAGUGGGGAAUAUUGGACAAUGGGCGAAAGCCUGAUCCAGCAAUGCCGCGUGAGUGAUGAAGGCCUUAGGGUUGUAAAGCUCUUUUACCCGGGAUGAUAAUGACAGUACCGGGAGGAAUAAAGCCCCGGCUAACUCCGUGCCAGCAGCCGCGGUAAU
rnacentral:rRNA from 1 species